rnacentral:rRNA from 1 species
GGAGUGAGAGCGUACACAGGUGCUGCAUGGCUGUCGUCAGCUCGUGUCGUGAGAUGUUGGGUUAAGUCCCGCAACGAGCGCAACCCUGCAUUCAGUUGCCAUCGGUAAGGCCGGGCACUCUGGAUGGACUGCCGGCGACAAGCCGGAGGAAGGUGGGGACGACGUCAAGUCAUCAUGGCCCUUAUGUCCAGGGCGACACACGUGCUACAAUGGCCGGCACAACGGGAAGCGAAGGGGCGACCCUGAGCGGAUCCCACAAAAGCCGGUCUCAGUUCGGAUUGCAGUCUGCAACUCGACUGCAUGAAGUUGGAAUCGCUAGUAAUCGCGGAUCAGCCAAGCCGCGGUGAAUACGUUCCCGGGCCUU